GUCUAGAGUCAUACUACUAUGAACACACCUGAUCUGAUCUGAUCCCAGAAACUAAGCAGUGUCGGACCUGGUUAAUACUUGGAUGAGAGAAAAAUCAAGCAAGUAUAUAUA
ensembl:rRNA 5S_rRNA 5S ribosomal RNA